AAACGAUGCCGAUGUCGUGGUGCCGAAUAAUGGCGACGCGAAAGAGAAAUCGAGUAGGGCCCUGGGGAGAGUACACGCGCAAGCGAGAAAUUUAAAGGAAAUUGACGGAAGAACACCACAAGGAGUGGAGUGUGCGGCUUAAUUUGACUCAACGCGGGACAACUUACCGGGUCCGACGACCGUAAGAGUGUGACACACGAUAGGUCGAAGAGUGGUGCAUGGCCGUUAACGACGAGUGGAGUGAUCUUUGGGGUAAGUCCGUAAAUUAGUGAGACCUCAGCCGUAAGGGACAGGUGCGCAAAGCACAGGAAGGAUGGGUCAAGGACAGGUCAGUGAUGCCCUUAGAUGGUCCGGGCUGCACGCGCACUACAGUGGUCGCCGAAAUUACCUGAUAAUUUUAAAGGCGAUCGAGAGGGAAUGAGCUUUGUAAGAGGCUCAGGAACGAGGAAUUGCUAGUAAUCGCGGACUCAUUAAGACGCGAUGAAUACGUCCCUGUUCUUUGUACACACCGCCCGUCGUUAUCGAAGAUGAAGACAGGCGCGAACGAUCUACCAGAAAGUGAGCGCAGGUCUUUAGAUCUGAUACAAGUCGUAACAAGGUAGCUGUAGGAGAUCCUGUAGCUGG
rnacentral:rRNA from 1 species